rnacentral:rRNA from 1 species
AGAGGUCUCGAGCGUUGAUCGGAUUCAUUGGGCGUAAAGGGCGCGUACGCGGCGGGCUAAGUCUGGUGUGAAAUCCAUGAGCUCAACUCCUAAACUGCACUGGAUAGUGCUCUGCUAGACGACUGGAGAGGACACUGGAAUUCACGGCGUAGCAGUGAAAUGCGUAGAUAUCCUGCGGAACACCAGUGCCGAAUGCGGAUCUCUGGACCUUCCUGACGCUGAGGCGCGAAGGCCAGGGGAGCAAACGGGAUUAGAUACCCCGGUAGUCCUGGCAGUAAACGGUGCACGUUUGGUGUGCGCGGAUUCUACCCCGUGCGUGCCGGAGCUAACGCGUUAAACGUGCCGCCUGAGAAGUACGCUCGCAAGAUUA